rnacentral:rRNA from 1 species
AGAGUUUGAUCCUGGCUCAGAACGAACGCUGGCGGCAGGCUUAACACAUGCAAGUUGAACGUGAUUUGCUGGGUGCUUGCACCGAGCAAUGAAAGUAGCGCACUGGUGAGUAACACGUGGGAACGUACCUUUUGGUGGGGAACAACAGUUGGAAACGACUGCUAAUACCGCAUAAGCCCUGAGGGGGAAAGAUUUAUCGCCGAAAGAACGGCCCGCGGAAGAUUAGGUAGUUGGUGGGGUAACGGCCUACCAAGCCGACGAUCUAUAGCUGGUCUGAGAGGACGAUCAGCCACAUUGGAACUGAGACACGGUCCAAACUCCUACGGGAGGCAGCAGUGAGGAAUAUUGGGCAAUGGAGGCAACUCUGACCCAGCCAUGCCGCGUGAGUGAAGAAGGUUUUCGGAUUGUAAAGCUCUUUCGGGUGUGACGAUGAUGACGGUAGCACCUAAAGAAGCCCCGGCUAACUUCGUGCCAGCAGCCGCGGUAAUACGAAGGGGGCAAGCGUUGUUCGGAAUUACUGGGCGUAAAGGGAGUGUAGGCGGUUAUGUAAGAUAGUGGUGAAAUCCCAGAGCUUAACUUUGGAAUUGCCAUUAUGACUAUGUGGCUAGAAUUACAGAGAGGAUAGUGGAAUACCCAGUGUAGAGGUGAAAUUCGUAGAUAUUGGGUAGAACACCAGUGGCGAAGGCGACUAUCUGGCUGUAUAUUGACGCUGAGGCUCGAAAGCAUGGGGAUCAAACAGGAUUAGAUACCCUGGUAGUCCAUGCUGUAAACGAUGAGUGCUUGUUGUCGGUGUAAAAUCGGUGACGAAGUUAACGCGUUAAGCACUCCGCCUGGGGAGUACGGUCGCAAGAUUAAAACUCAAAGGAAUUGACGGGGACCCGCACAAGCGGUGGAUGAUGUGGAUUAAUUCGAUGCAACGCGAAAAACCUUACCUAGCCUUGACAUGUCAGGAACGCUCCGGAGAUGGGGCGGUGCCCGCAAGGGAACCUGAGCACAGGUGCUGCAUGGCUGUCGUCAGCUCGUGUCGUGAGAUGUUGGGUUAAGUCCCGCAA